UCGAGAAUUUUUCACAAUGGGGGAACCCUGAUGGAGCGACGCCGCGUGGGGGAUGAAUGGCUUCGGCCCGUAAACCCCUGUCAUUUGCGAGCAAAGCGCAUUAUUUAAAAGAUGGUGUGUUGAUAGUAGCGGAAGAGGAAGGGACGGCUAACUCUGUGCCAGCAGCCGCGGUAAUACAGAGGUCCCGAGCGUUGUUCGGCUUCACUGGGCGUAAAGGGUGCGUAGGUGGUGAGGUGUGUCGGAUGUGAAAUCUCGGAGCUCAACUCCGAAACUGCAUUGGAAGCUGCCUUGCUGAUGGUUGGAAGGGGGACUGGAAUACUUGGUGUAGCAGUGAAAUGCGUAGAUAUCAAGUGGAACACCAGUGACGAAGGCGAGUCCCUGGACAACUCCUGACACUGAGGCACGAAAGCUAGGGG
rnacentral:rRNA from 1 species